GAUGAACGCUGGCGGCGUGCCUAAUACAUGCAAGUCGAGCGAACGGACGAGAAGCUUGCUUCUCUGAUGUUAGCGGCGGACGGGUGAGUAACACGUGGAUAACCUACCUAUAAGACUGGGAUAACUUCGGGAAACCGGAGCUAAUACCGGAUAAUAUUUUGAACCGCAUGGUUCAAAAGUGAAAGACGGUCUUGCUGUCACUUAUAGAUGGAUCCGCGCUGCAUUAGCUAGUUGGUAAGGUAACGGCUUACCAAGGCAACGAUGCAUAGCCGACCUGAGAGGGUGAUCGGCCACACUGGAACUGAGACACGGUCCAGACUCCUACGGGAGGCAGCAGCAGGGAAUCUUCCGAAAUGGGCGAAAGCCUGCCGGAGCAACGCCGCGUGAGUGAUGAAGGUCUUCGGAUCGUAAAACUCUGUUAUUAGGGAAGAACAUAUGUGUAAGUAACUGUGCACAUCUUGACGGUACCUAAUCAGAAAGCCCCGGCUAACUACGU
rnacentral:rRNA from 1 species